GCACUACUGAAGUGUCCAAUACUAGGAUGAAACGGCCGUCCAGUGC
rnacentral:hammerhead_ribozyme from 1 species